rnacentral:lncRNA from 1 species
UGGCCAUUCAAUCAUUGCCAAAAAAAAGGAAGAAAAUAUGCAAGAUAAGUAGUAGCAAGUGAAAUACAAACUAUCCCUAGACCCUAUAUGCUGAAAAGUUAAAAGCACAUAGAUGCGUAACUAUUUGGUUCGAACCCACGACACUUCUGAAUAAGUUUAGGCGCUUCACCAUCAGAGUUGCGCCUUCCUUUGUGACAAGUAAUGUAAUUUUAACAUAUUUGGUUCGUUUUUGUAUACUAAUCAAAUAUAUAUAUAGGUAAAUUUUCCAACGAAGUGGUGUCGGAUGACACCACUUAAGCUAAGGUGGCUCCGCCCCUGCUCCCGGCUACAUUCCAUCCAAAACACGUUUUACAGGUUCAAUCAUAUUGCUACAGGAUUUUCCAUGGCCAUUCCUUUCCAGUUCUGAUGUCUUCAUGAAUAGCAAUUGUCGACAAAACAUCGAACAUUGAACAUCGAAUAUCGAACAUCGAUAGCAAACAUCAAAUCUCAUGGUUUCUAACACAAAAUCAAAACCUGACAAAUAAAUCCCCCAAUUUCGCAAACUAAAAAUCACAAAAUAUAUCGCAUAAUACAAACAAAACAGAAGCAAAAUAAUGGGUUUAUCAGAAAUAUUAUCCAUAAAGAAAAUAGAGGGAGCAAUGAAAUAAUUUUUCAGACUAGGGAAGAAGAAAGCAAAAUCGAAUAGUAAUAGCAAACAUCGAACAGGUAAAACCCGAAAGCCUACCUCAGAGAUUGUGGUAUGUUAGCCGAUAAUGGUCGUCCCUCACCGGAAAUAAUCGUCCUUUACCGGAGCUGGUCGACAGAGUUCGCCGGUGGGUUCUAGGUUGAUGAACAGAGAGAGAGGUGUUUGAGAUUUUGGGGGAAUCGUUGUCUGAGAGUGAAGUC